GGCUUCGUGGCGUAAUGGUGGCGCGUCGGAUUCCAAUAUAUGGUACCAUCCGAAGGUUGUGGGUUCGAUCCCCACCGAGGUCA
rnacentral:tRNA from 1 species